GAGUGAGGGCCCUCGCGCCCGACCUCCAACCCUUUGUUGAUUAAUAUCUGUUGCCUCGGGGGGCGACCCGGCCGGGGCCCCCAGAGGACCAAUUGACCCUGCAUCUCUGCGUCGAGUAUUGAAUACAAAUCAAUCAAAACUUUUAACAACGGAUCUCUUGGUUCU
rnacentral:misc_RNA from 1 species